CUCUAUGGCCAUGCCUUAAUAAGCCCGAUCUCGUCUGAUCUUGGAAGCUAAGCAGGGUGGGGCUUGGUUAGUACUUGUAUGGGAGACUACCUAGCAAGACCAGGUGUUGUAGGCA
rnacentral:rRNA from 1 species